rnacentral:rRNA from 1 species
UACGGAGGGGGCUAGCGUUGUUCGGAAUUACUGGGCGUAAAGCGCACGUAGGCGGCUUCGCAAGUCAGAGGUGAAAGCCCGGGGCUCAACCCCGGAACUGCCUUUGAGACUGCGUGGCUCGAAUCCGGGAGAGGCGGGUGGAAUUCCUGGUGUAGAGGUGAAAUUCGCAGAUAUUAGGAAGAACACCGGUGGCGAAGGCGGGCCGCUGGACCGGUAUUGACGCUGAGGUGCGAAAGCGUGGGGAGCAAACAGG